AGUCUGAACUGAGGGGUGAGCACCAGAUAAGUAGACAUGACUAGCCUAGAGAGCUCAGGUGCAAGCAGUGCACCUGAGUGACUGGAAGAGGUAGAGCCAGGAUCCACCCCUCCUCACCCUCAUUUAAGGGUUGGCAGCCAACGGAGUGGCAUCUUUCUGGAUGGAGAUUGCAUUCCUCUUGAGCUGUUGUUGGAAGGGAGCAUGACCUGGUACAGUUUCAGUUUCCAGCAAGUAGCUGCUAACAUGCAGUGCCUAAAGGCUGCCUCAUGUUUAUCAAGGAUCAUGAAACCUUGGAGAUUUGUACCCUUUCUCAUAGAAUGGCUUGGAUUGGAGAGGACUUAAACAUCAUUCAGUUCCAACCUCCUACUGUGCAUAAGGUUGCCACCCACCAGAUCAGGCUGCCCGUCCAACCUGGCCUUAAAUCUUAUCUUUAAAUGAGUCUUGUCUAAAGAAAAGCAUUAGGUGAAAAGCCAAAGUAAGUA